AAUUAAUGAACUUGUAUAAGUGUAUAUUUUGAAAAUAUAAAAAAGAGACAAAAAUUCUCUAUUAAUUU
rnacentral:tRNA from 1 species